ensembl:lncRNA
GUAAGAAUAAUAGAACACGCCAGGUGUAAGAAUAAUAGAACACGCCAGGUGUGGGAAUAAUAGAACACGCCAGGUGUAAGAAUAGUAGAAUACGCCAGGUGUAAGAAUAGUAGAAUACGCCAGGUGUAAGAAAAAUAGAACACGCCAGGUGUAGGAAUAGUAGAAUACGCCAGGUGUAAGAAUAAUAGAACACGCCAGGUGUAAGAAUUAUAGAACACGCCAGGUGUAAGAAUAAUAGAACGCGCCAGGUGUAAGAAUAAUAGAACACGCCAGGUGUAAGAAUUAUAGAACACGCCAGGUGUAAGAAUAAUAGAACGCGCCAGGUGUAAGAAUAGUAGAAUACACCAGGUGUAAGAAUAAUAGAAUACGCCAGGUGUAAGAAUAAUAGAACACGCCAGGUGUAAGAAUAGUAGAACACG